AACGAACGCUGGCGGCAUGCCUAACACAUGCAAGUCGAACGAGACCUUCAGGUCUAGUGGCGCACGGGUGCGUAACGCGUGGGAACCUGCCCUUAGGUUCGGAAUAACUCCCCGAAAGGGGUGCUAAUACCGGAUAAUGUCUUCGGACCAAAGAUUUAUCGCCUUUGGAUGGGCCCGCGUUGGAUUAGCUAGUUGGUAGGGUAAAAGCCUACCAAGGCGACGAUCCAUAGCUGGUCUGAGAGGAUGAUCAGCCACACUGGGACUGAGACACGGCCCAGACUCCUACGGGAGGCAGCAGUGGGGAAUAUUGGACAAUGGGCGAAAGCCUGAUCCAGCAAUGCCGCGUGAGUGAUGAAGGCCUUAGGGUUGUAAAGCUCUUUUACCCGGGAUGAUAAUGACAUUACCGGGAGAAUAAGCUCCGGCUAACUCCGUG
rnacentral:rRNA from 1 species